ACGGCAGGCAGCAGCGAGGAAUAUUGGUCAAUGGGCGGGAGCCUGAACUAGCCAAGUAGCGUGAGGGAUGACGGCCCUAUGGGUUGUAAACCUCUUUUGACAGGGAAUAAAGUGAGCCACGUGUGGUUCAUUGCAUGUACCUGUGGAAUAAGGAUCGGCUAACUCCGUGCCAGCAGCCGCGGGAAUACGGAGGAUCCGAGCGUUAUCCGGAUUUAUUGGGUUUAAAGGGAGCGUAGGCGGGAUGUCAAGUCAUCUGUGAAAUGUAGUCGCUCAACGUCUGCACUGCAGGUGAAACUGGGGUUCUUGAGUGCGUAAGAGGCAGGUGGAAUUCGUCGUGUAGCGGUGAAAUGCAUAGAUAUGACGAAGAACUCCGAUUGCGAAGGCAGCCUGCUGGGCCGCUACUGACGCUGAAGCUCGAAGGUGCGGGUAUCAAACAGGAUUAGAUAC
rnacentral:rRNA from 1 species